rnacentral:misc_RNA from 1 species
AGACUUCCUCCUUUAGCCAAAUAACGUAGGAUAUAUAAGGACAUAUAUAGGUUUCCUAUGGGACAUCGUCACAUCUCCAAAGGAAGUGAGAUUCUAGCAACAAAUGUGAUAACUGUGAUAUUUUUGAUGAACAUGUUCCAGAAGUCUCCUACGCAUUCAUAUUUUGACAGCAAUUGACCUUAAUUUAUUCAUAUAUUAAGUUUGAAGGCCGACGAAUUCUUUUGAAAUCGUUUAAGUGUGUGUGUGGUAUUUUGUUAUACAUGUACAUUCAUUUGUUAAUUGAAUUUUUGGCAUCAAAUGAGAUUGCUAGUCUCAGUAUUAAUAUUAAUUGAUUUCUAUUGUCUAUCGUUGUUUUUUCAUGGGUUGUUUUUGCCAUGACCGUCUUUCAUUAAGUGUUGUUAUACUUAAUUAUUUUAUGAAGAUUAUUUUACGAUUUCAUAUCUUAGUUGUUGCAAUUUGCUCGACAAAACGUCAAAAUAUGUUAAGUCGAAUGAUUCUUGAAUGCAUUUUGUCAAAUUGAUAAACAAAAAAUUAUACAAAC